UAACCUGCCAAAGAGAUCGGGAUAACACCUGGAAACAGAUGCUAAUACCGGAUAACAACAGAUGAUGCCUAUCAACUGUUUAAAAGAUGGUUCUGCUAUCACUCUUGGAUGGACCUGCGGUGCAUUAGCUAGUUGGUAGGGUAACGGCCUACCAAGGCGAUGAUGCAUAGCCGAGUUGAGAGACUGAUCGGCCACAUUGGGACUGAGACACGGCCCAAACUCCUACGGGAGACAGCAGGC
rnacentral:rRNA from 1 species